GUUUCUCUGCCGGAAUUUUCCCGAAGACGAAGCGGGAAUCUGCAUCCCACACACCCUAUGUCGUGUUUGUUUCUCAACGCCUGCAGGAGACUGGGUGCAUCGGGGUGACUUUCCUCCAUCACUGACUCCGUUUUGUGUUGUUCUGCCAAACCGCGCCUGACUCGACGGGGGAGAGGCUUUCGAAAGGAGGCCGUUAUCUGCUGCAGAAUGUGGAACAUGGCCUACGGUAUGUGCGUGUGUUCGUUCCUCGUCCCACACCCCAGCGUCUGCCCUUUCAUCCGGUGAGCUUUCCCCAAUCAUUCGUGACCGAUUCUCCCGCCUUUUCGAGUCGAUGCGCGAAAUCGACGAGGAUAUGGCGCCGCUCUCUGGACAGGUCAGGGGGACCUGGGGGACUCUACUGUGUAAAGGGCACAUCUCAGAAGGGGGGAGCGAGAGAGCAAAGACGCCAGAAUUCUCAAGUUCCAAUUUUUCCCGCUCGAGAACCAGAAGUUUUUGCUGUUGCCGGAGUAACUCCUGUUGAAGCAACAGCUGACGGUGGAAUCUGUCGCGGUGCCGGAGCUGUUUUGUCACAUCCACUUGCGCUUCGAGAUGCUCAAUCCUCUGUGUCAUGGAGAGCUGUGCCUGUCGGUCGUCCGUAGCCUAAAGAGAGACCAGCGAGAAGGAAAUAAUUGACGAAAGGCGAGCAUUCAAGUGCUAGUUUGGAUCUGAAAGGUCGUGUCGUCCUCUACCUCCCAAGAACUAACGCGAUCUCCUAUUUCCUAUUUUCAAUCUUUCGUCCCCCUGAAGUAACAUUAGAUUCCGGUCUACACAGGAGCUGCGCUGAAGAGCUCAACAU
rnacentral:lncRNA from 1 species